UUUUAUAAAUGCUCUUACAUUUCUAAAUACUUCUAGAAAAUUUAUUUUAUUUGCUGAUCACACGACUAUUAAAUAGAACUGUAGUGACUAGCAGGAUUUACCACAAGCUGUUCUGUCCGACCUUUAAAAGCUAAAAAUCUUGGUGUGACAAAAAUCCUCAUGUUCUGGCCUUCUUUAAGGUGUAAUCUGGGACAUCGUAUCGUCCAAAAUAUUUGCACUAAAGAGAAAAAAAUCCUAACUUUAUACAGCAUAUUUAUUUUAGAGAAUCGAUCUUACCUGACACAAAAUGUAUCAAUUCUUUUAUUGGCAAUUCAGCUUCAGUAAAAAGAUUAAUUGUUUAUGAGAGCAUAAAAUGAUAACGAUAUAAUUAUUGGCAAUGAUCUUAAAGUGCUUGUGCUUCUCUUAAACAAUUUAAAAUAGGGUUAAGUGUUUGCUCCUUUGUGGUGCCUAUUAUAGCCAGACCAUCCUGAAAACUAUUUGAAACAGCUGACUGCAUCAUCUGUACUUCUUCGUCAUCUUAAUAUCUAAAAAACGAAUUAACACCCCGUCAUUCUCGUAAUACAAACAUAACGGUGUCGCUCCCACAGUAGCAGGUGCCGAAGGACCUUUUGUCACAUUGCUCCGGUAAAUUCAGCACGGACAGGUAUUUGUUUACAUUCUUGGGGCCCGGUGAGGACAAGUGCAUAAAGUGCAAAGCAUCUCAGCCACAACAAUGAAUGUAUGUGUACACACCAGUUUAUUACGUCGCCGACAAUCGGGGCGGCAGGCCAAACUAAACUGUUGAAUGGAACUCAGUCACUGUAAGUGCAAAGGUGUAAACUUGUUGAUUAACGCGUGUUUGAUGGUAAUUUGGCCCAGUUUAUGAAGAGACAUUAGGGAAGUGGGUUUAGUUAGGUGUUUGGAAAAGACUUUAACAAAAGUGGGGUAACCCAGACGGCACCCAAUAUCUGUGGAAUAUGCCACCUAUUGACGAAACAUAUUGCAAUAUGCCUGGCAUAUUCCACGAAUAUGCCAAAUAUCGUAUAUGCAAAAGCCAUAUUCCUGGCAUAUUUUUAACAGAUGUUUGCAGGCAAACUGAAAAUUAGUUGAAGAUUUGGGUGCCGUUUAUUUAACUAAAGCAUCAGAGCUCUUUGACAGAAAAAUUCUUUCGGAUACAAACAGAACAUGUCCAGGACUAUUAUUAUGAUACUACUAUUUGUAUUGUAUUGUAAAUUAACAGUGUUAAUUACAUAUUGUAUUAAACUACUUUAAAUCUUGUAUUUUUAUUUUCC